rnacentral:tRNA from 1 species
GGGGCUAUAGCUCAGUGGCAGAGCGCUUGCCUAGCAUGUAUAAGGCACUAGGUUCAAUCCUUAGCACCA